CCUACGGGAGGCAGCAGUGGGGAAUCUUGCGCAAUGGGCGAAAGCCUGACGCAGCCAUGCCGCGUGAAUGAUGAAGGUCUUAGGAUUGUAAAAUUCUUUCACCGAGGACGAUAAUGACGGUACUCGGAGAAGAAGCCCCGGCUAACUUCGUGCCAGCAGCCGCGGUAAUACGAAGGGGGCUAGCGUUGCUCGGAAUUACUGGGCGUAAAGGGAGCGUAGGCGGAUAGUUUAGUCAGAGGUGAAAGCCCAGGGCUCAACCUUGGAAUUGCCUUUGAUACUGGCUAUCUUGAGUACGGAAGAGGUAUGUGGAACUCCGAGUGUAGAGGUGAAAUUCGUAGAUAUUCGGAAGAACACCAGUGGCGAAGGCGACAUACUGGUCCGUUACUGACGCUGAGGCUCGAAAGCGUGGGGAGCAAACAGGAUUAGAUACCCUGGUAGUCCACGCUGUAAACGAUGAGUGCUAGUUGUCGGCAUGCAUGCAUGUCGGUGACGCAGCUACGCAUAAGUACACUCCGCCGUCGGGGUAGGUACGGUCGCGAGAUUAAACGUACAAGAAGUAGACGCGNGAGACGNGCGAGACGACGACGAGGGAGAGG
rnacentral:rRNA from 1 species